rnacentral:ncRNA from 1 species
AAGUUGUUGCGACAGCAUUCCUGCGUAGUACGAGAGGAACCGCAGGUACGGACCAAUGGCACAAUACUUGUUCGAGCGAACAGUGGUAUGACGGUACGUCCGUUGGAUUAUGCCUGAACGUCGUAUCCGAGCUGGACUGCAUUGCUUGGCUUAUAAACCAUUUAAAAUUUUUCAUCUUUUUAUGAUAAACGAUAAUGAAGUGUGAUGUCAAUCUUUCAUUGUCACGUAACAAAUACAGGAGAAUAUUAUCACCUGUGUGUCGCGUUAGUUACAUUUAAAAACAUUAUUUAAUGGCAAUGCCAAUUUUGUAACGGGCAACAUACUUAGGUUGACGAUUCGAUAUCUAAUAUGCAUUUAACAUGU